GCCCGCCUAGCUCAAUCGGAUAGAGCGUCAGACUCUUACGAGUUCAAGGGCAUCUGAAGGCUGCGAGUUCGACCCUCGCGGUGGGCU